AAAAUGGCUACGUCGAGAGCAUCAUCCGCACGCUGUAUUAAAAGUCAAUAAAGAAGACAUCCAAGAUGGGAGCCAUAGCUCCUAUCGUGAAUCCACUCUUGAUUUAUCGCGAGGAAAAUUGAUAAGACGAAUAUUUCAUCAAAUGUGAUGUCUACAAUAAAGCAUCACACAGCUGAUUAAGGAGGUUAUUUUCAAUACUGAAACUGUCAAUCAUCUCAACCCACCAAGUAAUGAAACAAUUUAAUUAAAAACUAGAUAGAUAUGCUGAAGAUGACUUAAAAAGAAGUCG